rnacentral:lncRNA from 1 species
UUUUUUUUUGGUUUUUCGCCCUAAAAUUUGGUUAUUUUUGGGACAAGAAAUGCGUUUUUAAUCGGAUUUUUACGCGAUAAAAAGCGCCUGAAAAAUUGAAUUUUUGGGGACCCAAUCCGGCCUGGUGAAAAUGGGAUUUUUUGGGGUUAAAAAUUGGAUUUUUUGGGGUUAAAAAUUGGAUUUUUUUGGGUUAAAAAUCGGAUUUUUUUGGGUUAAAAAUCGGAAUUUUUUGGGGUUAAAAAUCGGAUUUUUUGGGUUAAAAAUCGGAUUUUUUGGGGUUAAAAAUCGGAUUUUUUUGGGUUAAAAAUCGGAUUUUUUGGGGUUAAAAAUUGGAUUUUUUGGGUUAAAAAUCGGAUUUUUUGGG